ACGCUCGACACCUACGGGAGGCAGCAGUGGGAAUAUUGCACAAUGGGGGAAACCCUGAUGCAGCGACGCCGCGUGGAGGAAGAAGGUCUUCGGAUUGUAAACUCCUGUUGUUGGGGAAAAGGAGGAUGGUACCCAACAAGGAAGUGACGGCUAACUACGUGCCACAGCCGCGGUAAUCUGAGCGGGCUGGCAAGGC
rnacentral:rRNA from 1 species